rnacentral:rRNA from 1 species
UAGUCAUAUGCUUGUUUCAAAGAAUAAACCAUCCAUGUUUAAGUAUAAGCACCCUUAUACUGCGAAACUGCGUACAGCUCAUUAUAUCAGCUAUUAUUUAUUUGAAGGUCACCUUUUACAUGGAUAACCGUGGUAAUUCUAGAGCUAAUACAUGCGAAAAGAAGGCCUUUAUUGGCUUUUGUAUUUAUUAGAUAAAGAAUCAAUACCAGUUUUGCUGGUUUUAUUGAUGAAUCAUAAUAAUUGUUUGAAUCGCACGGCUUUGCUGGCGAUAGUUCGUUCAAAUUUUUGCCCUAUCAGCUUGUCGGUAGUGUAGUGGACUACCGAGGCAUUAACAGGUAACGGAGAAUUAGGGUUUGAUUCCGGAGAGGGAGCCUGAGAAACGGCUACCACAUCCAAGGAAGGCAGCCGGCGCGCAAAUUACCCAAUCCCCAUACGGGGAGGUAGUGACAAUAAAUAACAAAGAUGACGGUUCAUCCGUGGUUUAUUGGAAAGAGAACAAUUUAAACCCCUUAUUGACGAUCCACU